rnacentral:lncRNA from 1 species
GUUUUAUCCGGGGUUUCCGCUUUUGCGUCUUCGUCAUUUUUCUCUUGCUACCACCAUUUGAGAAGUGCCUUUCGCCUCCUGCCAUGAUUCUGAGGUCCUCCCAAGCUAUGGGGAACUGUAAAUACAAUUAAACCUCUUUUUCUUCCCAGUCUCCGGUAUGUCUUUAUCAGCAGCAUGUAAAGGGACUAAUCCAGAGAGCCCCACCUGGAAGACUCUAGGUUCUCAUCUUCAUGCCCCGAUGUAAGGAGAGUGGUCCUUCUGUACAUCAGGAGUCUGAAAUGCAUCUCACUGGGCUAAAAUCAAGAUCUGUGGCACAUGGAACCACAUGUGGGACAAGAGACUAAUAAAGAUGUGACCUACUCACAGAGGCUUCAGGUGUUUUGCGAAGUACAUUGGCUUUUAUUCAACGUGCAGUGGGACUCCAACUAAAGUGUUUCAGGAAGGCACGGCCCUUUUGUGAUCUCCUGGUUCUUGUAAAUCUCACUGUGGCUGAUGAGGUCUGGAUAGAUAAUCAUGAUGGUGGCUGAAGAGAGACAAUGGUGGUGCUAGGUUACCAGUGGCGUGGAGCUCAGAGCUAAUGCAGAGCAGCUGGAGCAGUGCUGAGUUUCAAAACGUGUUGGAAAAAAUAUUAUAUGAAUGAUGCUAUUUUUUUCACUGAAUCACAUCAAGAAGCACAUGAUGUUAAGCUGUCUCAUCAUUGGUGGUGUUAACUUGGAUCGCUUGAUUAAGGUCUUUUGAAGAGCAGAAAUUUUAGAUUUUAAUAAAAUCCAAAUUUGCAAUGUUUUUGUUUUUCAUGGCUCAUGUUGUAUCUAAAAAUUCAUCAAUAAAUGCAAGGGUCAAGGAAACUUAUUUUGAACUAUUUACAGCCUUUAAUAAUUGAGUAUGUUAUACGCCUGUGAACAAAAUUUGGAGCAUAUUUGUCUCUCUCUCUGCCUGGCUUCUCCAGAAUUUUGAAACUAGUUGAAGAAGUGGUCUCAGAUGCUUGCUAUUGAAGACAUGGAUGUUCUUAGUCCAAUUCUCUUCCUAAAAGGAUAUAGAAGACAGUUGACUCUUUCUUAUACAUACACUCACCUGAAUCUGAAGAAUGAGCAAGAAACUGCCAAAAAGAACUCUGAGUAACCAUAUGCCUUCCUUCUGUUUGUCUACUAUGCAAGACUAUUCCAUAGCAUAUUAAGAUGUUUCCUCCAAACUAGCAAGUAGGAUCUAGAUUUAAUCUUCAACUAUUCAAUACCGAUUCUACAAAAGCAUAGAGGUGAACAGAGUGCUGGGACCUACAGUGUCAUUUCUUCCCCCUAUUACCUUAAUGAAUGUAGCCAGUUUGCUUACUUCACUUUUGCUCUUGGAUAUUGACAACUGGCUGUCUUCUUCUUCAGGUGGUCAGGUGCUAGUUGUUACUCAGUGAAUCCCCAGUUCUCUAGGCUUCUCUGAGAGAUAGCCAAGACUUGUUUUCAGUCACCAAUGCCUUUAAUCAAACUCGCUUAAAUAGCAACCCAGUUUUUACCACAUGCCAAAGUCUAUCACUGACAGAAAUUUUAAUGUUUCAUCUAACCCACAUCUCCCUCAAAACUUUGCUAAAAUGCCAUUUUUUUCUGUGAUUACUUCCAUUUAUUUUUCUCCGUAGCUUUCUUCACCUUAUGACCUAUAAUAUAAUGUACUAAUUAUGUUUGUUUUCACUUUUCCUACACUAGUACAUGAGCUCUAAUAAGGCAGAGGUUUUUGCCUGUAUACUUCACUGAUAUAUUCUUGGAACACAGAAGACUACCAGGUAUAUAGAAAGUGCUCAUAAAAAUUUGUUGAAUUAAUUAAUCUAGCACAAUUGAUUUUAUAUCACACCUUUUUGAUGUUGACAGUUAUCUGAAUUAAAUAAAUUGGAUCCAUACCUCCUUGUAUUUCUGAUAGAGUUUUAAUGACUGGUCCUACCUCUUACAGAUGAGGUCAUCUCCCUUCAUGUUCAUAGUCUUCAUGCUUUAGUAGCAGAGAUUUUUCUUGGUUCUCCCCUUCUUUUCUCAGAAGUGUCCUGAAUACUUCAUGUAUCACUCUAGUGGAGAAGAAUCCAGGAAUGGCCACGUUACAAUACACAUAUUUUAUGUUUCACAAAACCUGUCAAUAAACUCACAUUUUUGUAAAGCUUUUUGAAAUUUGUUUCAUUCAGUUUUUUGACUUUUCUCUGUACCAUAUUUUAUCUUUCUCUCUUUAUUUGAACACACACACUGGUAUCCACAGGUGCAUGUGGCCUCUUUUUUUUUUUUUAAGUUUAUACAUACACUUUCUCUCCUUGAAAACAGAUAGCAAGUUUUCUUGAGGAGAUUGCUCACUUAUUAUAGGCACUCUCCCACCCCUGUCUUACAUCCCCAAAUGGAUUUAGUUCUCCUCAAACUAUGCAAAGUCACCUAAUUAAAUAAAAGCCAUCGUAUUUCUAAGAAAUAUUAUCUACCAUGUGUUUCCAAAAGAAAAAUGAUCUGGAGAGCUAUGGAAUUUGGCAUUCAAAGAUCAGGAUCAGAAGAGAGAAUCUUCAGGAUGUUGGAAAAAUGAGAACACAAGCGUCAUUUUUCCUUGUGUUUUUAUUGGAAGCUUGAUGGGGACUUUGGCUACAUCUGUGCUGACUGCAUAAGCACAUACAAGAACAAUGUGUACUUUCUCAGCUGAGUGGCUUUUUAAUGUGCAGUUUCCUGCAGUGAUUCUGCUUAAGCAAGGCCUUAGAAAAGAUGAGGAACAGCUAAAGAACAAAACACACAGCAUGUUACUCUGUGGCCUCAUCAAAGGUAUCUCAAUUUAGAAGGUAAAUUACAAGCUAAAAAAAUCUGUGAUUUGUAUUCUUUCAAAGAAAGUAACAGAAAACUCAAGCAACUUUUUUUACAUACAUAAUUUUUUCCUCAAAACACUCAAGUAAUACAAAAACUAAGAAGUUCUGGAAAAGGGCCCAUUUACUACUUCUAGCCUUCCUACCUUCAGUAGUUUGUCAUGUAAUGAAGGGGUCUAUACCUCCUCACUUCCGUGGUGUUAUGUUUAGCCAUUGCUACACAUGGUAAACUUGUUUUAGCCCCCAGUU